rnacentral:rRNA from 1 species
GUGCCAGCCGCCGCGGUAAUACGGGGGGGGCAAGCGUUGUUCGGAAUUACUGGGCGUAAAGCGCGUGUAGGCGGCUCUUCAAGUCGAGUGUGAAAGCUCCAGGCUUAACCUGGGAAUUGCGCUCGAUACUGUUGAGCUAGAGUGUGGAAGGGACUACUGGAAUUCCGUGUGUAGCGGUGAAAUGCGUAGAUAUCGUAAGGAAGACCAGUGGCGAAGGCGGGUCUCUGGAAAGUUCCUGACGCUGAGGCACGAAGGUCAGGGGAGCAAACGGGAUUAGAUACCCCGGUAGUCC